CACGUAGGGGGCGAGCGUUGUCCGGAAUUACUGGGUGUAAAGGGUGCGUAGGCGGCCUUGCAAGUCAGAUGUGAAAGAUCACGGCUUAACUGUGGUAAGCAUUUGAAACUGUAAGGCUUGAGUGCAGGAGAGGAGAGUGGAAUUCCUAGUGUAGCGGUGAAAUGCGUAGAUAUUAGGAAGAAUAUCAGUGGCGAAGGCGGCUCUCUGGAUUGCAACUGACGCUGAGGCACGAAAGCGUGGGGAGCAAACAGG
rnacentral:rRNA from 1 species